CACUACCGAAGCUUAGGAAUUGAUGAAUGUCAAUUGGUAGAGGAGCAUUCUUACCGAGACGAAGCUGUACCGGAAGGAGCAGUGGAUUGGUAAGAAGAGAGAAUGCCGGAAUGAGUAGCGAGAGGAAGGUGAGAAUCCUUCCGGCCGAAUAUCUAAGGUUUCCAGAGUAAAGCUGAUCUGCUCUGGGUAAGUCGGGGCCUAAGGCGAGGUCGAAAGACGUAGUCGAUGGAUAACAGGUAAAGAUUCCUGUACUAUAUCAUAACAGAACUGUGGGGACGCAGACAGAGAGCAUAAGCCGGGAAUGGAAAAACCGGUACAAGCGAGGUAGGAGUGCAUCAGGCAAAUCCGGUGUACAAUCUGAAGACGUGAUGUGGGGCGUAAAGCCGGAAGUAUGUGAGCUGGCUGCCAAGAAAAGCCGCUAUUGUUUAUGAUAUACCCGUACCGUAAACCGACACAGGUGGAUGAGGAGAGAAUCCUAAGGCCGACGGGAGAAGCAUUGUUAAGGAACUCGGCAAAAUGACUCCGUAACUUCGGGAGAAGGAGUGCCAUGUAAAAGUGGCCGCAGAGAAUUGGCCCAAGCAACUGUUUAGCAAAAACACAGGUCUAUGCAAAACCGAAAGGUGAGGUAUAUGGGCUGACGCCUGCCCGGUGCUGGAAGGUUAAGGGGAGAGGUUAGCCGUAAGGCGAAGCUUUGAACUUAAGCCCCAGUAAACGGCGGCCGUAACUAUAACGGUCCUAAGGUAGCGAAAUUCCUUGUCGGGUAAGUUCCGACCCGCACGAAAGGCGUAAUGAUUUGGGCACUGUCUCAACAAUGCACCCGGUGAAAUUGAAAUACCAGUGAAGAUGCUGGUUACCUGCGCCAGGACGGAAAGACCCCAUGGAGCUUUACUCCAGCUUGAUACUGGGAUUCGAUAUUGCAUGUACAGGAUAGGUGGGAGACUUUGAACUCAUGACGCCAGUCGUGAGGGAGUCACUGUUGGGAUACCACCCUUGUAGUAUUGGAUUUCUAACCAGCAGCCGUGAACCGGCUGGGGGACAAUGUCAGGUGGGGAGUUUGACUGGGGCGGUCGCCUCCGAAAGGGUAUCGGAGGCGCUCAAAGGUUCCCUCAGAAUGGUUGGAAACCAUUCGAAGAGUGCAAAGGCAGAAGGGAGCUUGACUGCGACACCGACGGGUGGAGCAGGUACGAAAGUAGGACUUAGUGAUCCGGUGGUAUAAAGUGGGAUUGCCAUCGCUCAACGGAUAAAAGCUACCCUGGGGAUAACAGGCUUAUCACUCCCAAGAGUUCACAUCGACGGAGUGGUUUGGCACCUCGAUGUCGGCUCAUCGCAUCCUGGGGCUGAAGUAGGUCCCAAGGGUUGGGCUGUUCGCCCAUUAAAGCGGUACGCGAGCUGGGUUCAGAACGUCGUGAGACAGUUCGGUCCCUAUCCGGCGUGGGCGUAGGAUAUUUGAGAGGAGCUGCCCUUAGUACGAGAGGACCGGGGUGGACUGGCCGCUGGUGGAUCUGUUGUAUUACCAAAUGCAUGGCAGAGUAGCCAAGCCGGGACGGGAUAAACGCUGAAGGCAUCUAAGCGUGAAGCCCCCCUCAAGAUGAGAUAUCCCAUAACGUCAAGUUAGUAAGACCCCUUGAAGACGACGAGGUAGAUAGGGCAGAGGUGGAAGUGUGGUAACACAUGGAGCUGACUGUUACUAAUAGGUCGAGGGCAUAACCAAG
rnacentral:rRNA from 1 species